AUCGCAAUAACGAAGUUUGUGUGCCGGAAAGACAGUCUCGGGUAAUGUUUUCUUCAUGGUACGUGCGGUAGGACUGGCGCUUAUUUUGGAAAUGAAAAGGUUGUAGCGGUUGUAGUUUCAAUUGAUAGUAGAUGGUAUGCAACAAUUGAAACCAGUUCAACACUGUCAGCCAUUAUUCGAAAGGAAUUUUCCGAGUAUACCAAGAUCAAAUUUGACCCUGAUUGACUUCAGUGCCUUCAGCGAAUUCCUUUUGUUUUGGUUUCGGCUCAUAUUUGGAGCGCCAUUCGCUAGAUUGUGGGACAGUUUCAACGUCGUAAUCAGAAACCCCUUCUCGUUACCAGUAAUGUAUGUCUUUAGUAUGAGUCUGGCAAGGACAUGCUCCACAACCAAAACAUUUAAAAUCCUCUGCUACCUCUCUGAUGCCAACACGAGUAUUUUUCAGCACUGUUUCUUUAACUUUUUCGAUGUUGUCGUCAUUAACAGAGCUGGAUGGAUUAACAGAGUCGCAUGAGGCAAGUUUUCGAUGACAAGCAAACUCGUUGUUUAAUUUUUUUCCAUGGCAAAAGUCACUAGACGAACUUUUCGCGUUAUAAAUAAUCAGCUGCUUAACAUAGACUAAUUCACAUAUGGAGAUCAAAAUUCCCCCGAUUGUAAAUAUAUAUUGUACCAAUCUA